rnacentral:rRNA from 1 species
GUCUGUAGGUGGUUUGUUAAGUCAGAUGUGAAAGCCCAGGGCUCAACCUUGGAACUGCAUUUGAUACUGGCAAACUAGAGUAUGGUAGAGGAAUGGGGAAUUUCUGGUGUAGCGGUGAAAUGCGUAGAGAUCAGAAGGAACACCAAUGGCGAAGGCAACAUUCUGGACCAAUACUGACACUGAGGGACGAAAGCGUGGGGAUCAAACAGGAUUAGAUACCCUGGUAGUCCACGCUGUAAACGAUGAGUACUAGCUGUUGGAUUCGGUGUAAAGGAUCUAGUGGCGUAGCUAACGCGUUAAGUACUCCGCCUGGGGACUACGGCCGCAAGGCUAAAACUCAAAGGAAUUGACGGGGACCCGCACAAGCGGUGGAGCAUGUGGUUUAAUUCGAUGCAACGCGAAGAACCUUACCUGGUCUUGACAUCCUGCGAACUUUCUAGAGAUAGAUUGGUGCCUUCGGGAACGCAGUGACAGGUGCUGCACGGCUGUCGUCAGCUCGUGUUGUGAAAUGUUGGGUUAAGUCCCGCAACGAGCGCAACCCCUAUUGAUAGUUACCAUCAUUAAGUUGGGUACUCUAUUGAGACUGCCGCUGACAAGGCGGAGGAAGGUGGGGACGACGUCAAGUCAUCAUGGCCCUUACGACCAGGGCUACACACGUGCUACAAUGGGUAUUACAGAGGGCAGCGAAGUAGCGAUAUGGAGCGAAACUCAGAAAGGUACUCUUAGUCCGGAUUGCAGUCUGCAACUCGACUGCAUGAAGUCGGAAUCGCUAGUAAUCGCAGGUCAGAAUACUGCGGUGAAUACGUUCCCGGGUCUUGUACACACCGCCCGUCACACCAUGGGAGUGGGCUGCUCCAGAAGUAGAUAGC